UACAGAGGUCCCAAGCGUUGUUCGGAUUCACUGGGCGUAAAGGGUGCGUAGGUGGUUAGGUAAGUCCGAUGUGAAAUCCCCAGGCUCAACCUGGGAACUGCGUCUGAUACUGGAUGGCUUGAAUCCGGGAGAGGGAUGCAGAAUUCCAGGUGUAGCGGUGAAAUGCGUAGAUAUCUGGAGGAAUACCGGUGGCGAAGGCGGCAUCCUGGACCGGCAUUGACGCUGAGGAGCGAAAGCCAGGGGAGCAAACGGG
rnacentral:rRNA from 1 species